GGGGAUAUAGCUUAGUGGGUAGAGCGCUUGCCUCGAAUGCACAAGGACCUGGGUUUAAUCCCCAGCACCA
rnacentral:tRNA from 1 species